rnacentral:misc_RNA from 1 species
UUAAGUUCAGCGGGUAUUCCUACCUGAUCCGAGGUCAACCUUGAUAAGUUUGGGUGUUUCACGGCCGGAACCCACAACCACGUCCUAGCGAAGAUAUACUACUACGCUCGGUAUGAUAGCGAGCCCGCCACUGCUUUUCGGGGGUGCGGACGGCCGCAGGGCCCCAACACAAGCCUAGGGCUUGAUGGUUGAAAUGACGC